CGAUGGGAGACCUGGUCCAGCCCUGUCCAUUGUGACCCACACCUCCUCAGGACUGAGCAGAAAGAGCUGCUGCAAUAAACAGUUUGACUAUCAUUCCUGAAGUGCCAGAGUUUGAGCAAACAUCACAUAAGUGUGCUGCAGAAAUGAGAGAGUGCACAACGUGCCAAAUGUACUAACAUUCUAAAAGCAGAAUUGGGAACACAUUUAAUGAAAAAAAUCAUUCAGACUUCAGCACUAUACCUCAGCAAGUAAUUUGAGUAAAAACUGAAUACUGAAGGUGUUUAUUUCAACUUGAUUAUUCUUUAUUACAUUGCAUUACUGUUUUAUACUGAUUAAAAUGCUGACUUUCUAUGUUAA
rnacentral:lncRNA from 10 species